AGACAGAUUCCCAGGAGGAGUGUAACACCUGCUGAUUUGACGCUUUUCCGUCUAGCCAUUCCAUGGCAUGGAACAAAAAUGACAAAUAUGGGUGAGUGUUCCCAGCUGAAGGAGGAUUGCCAGAUUUACAACAAACAAACAAAUGAAAAGCAGGACCUCGCAAUUACAUUUGAAUUUCAGGGCUGGACCCAAGGCAUAUGAGGCUCCUAGGGGUUGAAUCGGAGCUGUAGCCACCACAGCAACACUGGAACUGAGCCGUGUCUGACACCUACACCUCAACUCACGGCAAUGCUGUAUCCUUAACCCAAUGAAUGAGGCCAGGGAUUGAACCCACAUCCUCAUGGAUGCUAGUUGGGUUUGGUAACCACUGAGUCAGGAUGGGAACUCCUAUUUCUUUAAUUUUACACCUAUAUGUGAUGAUGGAUGUUCACCAAACAUUGUGACAAUCAUUCCAUGAUGUAUGUAAGUCGAAUCAUUACACUGUAUACAUUAAACUUAUAUCAAUUAUUUAUCAGUAAAACUGGAAGAGAAAACCAAACUUAAUUCAUAAACACUAAGCUGUUGAAUCUACAUCUCCUUUCAAAGUCUGCCAGUGAAAGAGAUGUUGAUGACAUUGGAAUGAUUGGGGCGAGCCAGUGAGAUACUGUGAUGGGAAUUACCAGUAAAAUUUUAUUCCUCAGCAUUUUCACUUACAAAUUAAUUCUGUCAUCUCUUUUUGUAAGUGCUAAAAAGCUACCUUUUCAGAAAUCAUCACUGAUAUUUUGCAUCGCUCGUAAUAGACACCAUUUUUCCUCUGAGACAGUAAGGAAGGAGGAAGAUGAAAAGAGGGCUUGUGAAAUAGAAAGUGUGCAAGGGCUCUUAUUCCAUAGGAUCUCUGUCGUCUCAGCAGAGCGAUGCUGGCCCCUGUGAGCUCCCCUCACAGACUUCAGGCACUUCACAUACUUUAUUUCAUUUAUGCUCACAACUACACUGUGGGAGGAUCAAAGUUGCCCACAGGGUUAGGUGAAGGGGAAGGAGGAACAACGCUGCAAUGAGAGUCGGGAACCAGGGACAUACCAAGAGCCCUCGACUAGAGACGAGCCAAUUUCCACUACACAGCCUGGGACAAAGAGAACAACUUUGUGGGGGAGCAGCCCAGGUUAAAGGCAUUAGUCAGCAAACUUUGUGGUUUUUUAAUAGGAAAAGGAACAUAGAUUUGAGUUUUUUUUUUUUUUUUUUUUUUUUAAGAGUGUUCCGCUAUUGGAGUUUGUCUUAGGUUUUUCUCACAGUAAGCCUUGGGUUAUGGCUUUUGGGGAGAAAGACCACCCACAAAGGUAAAGUGUUAUUUUUAUUAUUUAUUUAUUUUUUCUUCUUUUUUAUGGCUGCUGGGGUCGAAUUGGAGCUGAAGUUGCUGGCCACAGCCACAGCCACAGCAAUGCCAGAUCCGAGCGGCAUCUGCAACCUAUGCCACAGCUCGAGGCAACCUGGGAUCCUUAACUCACUGAGCAAGGGCAGGGAUCAAAUCUGAAUCCUCAUGGAUAUGAGUCAGGUUCUUAACCUGCUGAGCCAAAAUCGGAGCUCCCUAAAGGGUUGUUUUUAUUACAUCGCAUUGAGAGGCCAUGCUAUCAGCAAAUGGUUGAUGAAUACUGAUGAAUACCUUGAUCGCCUGGCUGAGGUAGCACUUGUCAAGUUUCUCAGUUCUUUUUUUCUCAAAAAAAGACACUCUCCCCACUACCCCCUUCCUUAUAGGACUGUAAGGAAAGCAGUCGCUAUACAGCAGUCCUAUGUGGAAAGCAGUCACUAUGCACAGCCUGUACCUAAAGGAAGGAGGAAAGGAGUCUUUGCAAGGUUGGGGAUUAGCAAUUAAGCACAAGGGAAAUCAAGGGAGGGAGGUAAGGGGUAACAGAUAGAAUAGUGGGUGCAUGUCUAAAAUGACCAACCACUGGUUGGAGAAGGGGAGCCAGAAGAAACAGGCUGAUAGAGCUGAGGGCAGAGAGCUAAUUUAGCAGGAAUGGAUAACUGGCAGUCUGUUGGAGUUGGGCCACUUAGAAAUGGUGCUGAGGAGACAAAUGAGGGGCCCUGUUGCUCCUGUUCUUCUCCAGCAGAAACCUCUGUUUACACUGCAUGAUGAGCGAUGGUCCCAAAGAAUGUUUAUACUUUACUACAAGUAUCUGGCACUGACAUUGUUGUAUCCUGCCCCAUAAAAGCCUUUCAGGACAUGAAAACGCUUUUCAUUUCCUUAUGAAGCAACAAAACUGCAGAUCACAGCUCUGCAUUCUGGAAUCGCCUGAAAAAAUGUACCGCAUUUAUCUUUCUUCUUUCUGUGUGAACACAUUUGGAAAUUGCUUGACUGAACAAUGAAAUUAGGCUUAUUGGUUUCAUUGUUUAUGGCUGAUUUUACAGCCCAGCUCAUCAUUAAUAUGGUUUCCAUGUGAAUUAGUAGACCAAAAACCUUCCCAUGAGCCUUCUCUUCAUAAAUUCACCUUAGGACCGGACAUGUUAGAUAUCAUAUAAUGUCACUUGAAAAAACUAAAGGAAGACUUCAAAUAAAUUAUAUCCUCCAUUCAGCUACGCAGCUAAAUUUUCUUAAAUUAAUACAUAUUACCAGAUCCAUGUUACCUCAUUUGUUUGGAAACAUGUGUGUAAGCAAAGAAAUAAGUGGCAAAAGAUUCACUUUUAUCUGUCUAGUCAUACCUGAACAGGGACUCUCUUGACAGCCAAAUUUCAUUCCGUUCCAAAAGAAAAGCCACAGCAGCAGUACAGCGGACACACUCAGGGUGGUGGCCCCACAAUGACUCAGUCACAUGCAGAGCUUGCUCAGUCCGUGCUUGAAAAGGAUGCAGUGGCUCAUGCUGGAAAACUGGGUAGAUUCAGGGUGACUUCAGGGCUGUGAUGAAUGCCCCUGAGCAUUUCAUCCCAAGCAAUUAAGUUGCAUAGAAGCUCAUUCUUCCCUUAAGAAACACUCACAGGUUAGACUCUAAGGGCUACACCGGCACUGUUGCUAGUUUUUUUUUUUUAAAUAAAUAAAUUUAUUUAUUUAUUUAUUUAUUUAUUGUCUUUUUGCCUUUUCUUGAGCUGCUCCCAUGGCAUAUGGAGGUUCCCAGGCCGGGUUGAAUUGGAGCUGUAGCCACCGGCCUACUCCAGAGCCACAGCAACGCGGGAUCCAAGCCGAGUCUGCAACCUACACCACAGCUCACGGCAAUGCCGGAUCUUUAACCCACUGGGCAAGGCCAGGGAUCGAACCCACAACCUCAUGGUUCCUAGUCGGAUUCGUUAACCACUGCGCCACAACAGGAACUCCUGUUGCUAGUUCUUUAGCAUUACAGAGAGCUUAAGAGCUUUGCCUCCCACAGUUUUUCUGCCCUGGAUUUCAGCAGCUCAGACACUGUGACUAGUCCCAACAGCACGUUCUCAGAUCCUGACUGUGCCCUCUGACCCUCGCUCCCACAUGUUACUGGUGCGGUACCGCACUACUGGCACUGUGUUUUCAAAUUUGGACUUUGUGCUGUAGCAGAUCCCAUCAUAGCUUUGUGGUGUAGUCAGUCUCUGGAGCUCUGUAGUUGGUGCUGGGAGAGAUGUGGGUUACUACUAGUCUCUCUCUCCAGGGAUGUGAGGACUGUGUCCCUGCUCAGGCCAGAGUCCUUAUGUUGAAGGAAAAUUCACCCACAGGCCAGCCUGGAGCUCAUCAUAGACAAGCUGUGUGGACAUGAGUCUCUUUCUGACUCUGGUCCAGCUUUCCCAGCAGACACGAGAUGUUCAUGUGUUAUCUGAAUGAAUGUCAAUAUCACAGCUCUAAAAACCUUUGGUGUGAGGGGUGGCAUGUGGUCCCUCAUAUCAUUUCUGUACAAACAGAGAUGCUUCCUGCCUGGACUCAGAAGAACAUGAGAGUGAUUUUUAUCCAUGUCCUUGUGUUCAGUUUAGCCACAGUCUGGGUCUGUGAAGAGAUGAGAAUUGUAGACCAGUUUAAGGAGUAAAGAAGUCCUAUAUAUUUUUUGUUGGUUUGUUUGUUGGUUAAUUGGCCCGCACCUGGUCUAUGGAAGUUCACAGGCUAGGAGUCGAAUUGGAGCUGUAGCUGCCGGCCUAUACCACAACCACUGCAACAUGGUAUCCUGAGCCGCAUCUGCGACCUACACCACAGCUCAUGGCAAUGCUGGAUUCCUGACCCACUGAGCGAGGCCAGGGAUCGAACCUGCAUCUUCAUGGAUACUAGUCAUAUUCAUUUCUGCUGAGCCACAACAGGAACUCCAAGAAGUCCUAUAUUGUAUAAAAAAGUAAGUCACUGUAUAUUUGGGAAAGUAAGUAUAUGUGUCUGCGUAAAUACGCACAUCUAUCUCUCUGAAUAUAGCCUAUUCGGUUAUUCAUUCAGUCAUUUGUUCUCUUUUUUUGUGUCUAUUGACAUGCUAAAUGCUAAGGACACAGUUAGGAAUAAAAUAAAGGCCCUGCUGUCAAAGAACUCCAGUCUACUGAGUGAGGUUUGUGUGGUUAGGGAGAGCACCUAAAUAUUACUUCUAAACUUGUAUGACUCCUUUUGCUUUUAUAUUUAAUUUUAAUUUUUUGGCUGUGCCUAUGGCAUUAACCCAUUGAGCCACCAGGGAUAUAUGGGAAGGUGUAUUUUAUUUUAUUUAUCUAUUCUGCUUUUUAGGGCCAUACCUGCAGCACAUGGAGGUUCCCAGGCUAGGGGUUGAAUCAGAGCUACAAAUGCAGACCUACCCCACAGCCACAGCAACUCGGGAUCUAAGCUUCAUCUGUGACCUAUACCACAGCUCACGGCAACACCAGAUCCUUAACCCAUUGAAUGAGGUCAGGGAUUGAACCCAUACCCUCAUGGAUCCUAGUUGGGUUUGUUAACUACUGAGCCAAGAAGGGAACUCCUGGAAAGGCAUAUUUUAAAAGGAGGCUUAUAAAAGUUCCCUAGUGGCCUAGCAGUUAAGGAUCCAGCAUUGUCAUGGCUGUGGUGUGGGUUUGAUCCUUGGCUCAGGAAUUUCUGUAUGCUGUGGGUGCAGCCAAAAAAGAAAAAAGAGAAAGAAAGCAUCUUUCCACUUUCCCCCUGUUCACCUAUCUAGAUAUCAGCUUUGGUACCAAGGUAGAAAGGAAAGAAAGAAGCAUUUAGCACUUCUGUCUUUGGGGAAUCAAGAAGUUAGGAAGUCGAGGCAAGUGAGUUCCCACUUCAGGCUUCAGGGUCCAGCAUCUUAAAGCUUCAGGGUUCACUGCAGGCCUAAAGGAGUCAUUGCCCUACUUACCAAUGGGCAGGAACAGCUUGACUGAAGAGUUCGAUGAUCCUCACUUCACCCUGUCCCACCCAUUAAUUGUCAAAAAUACCUUGCACUGGAGUUCCCGCUGUAGCACGAUGGGAUUGGCAGUGUCUCUGCAGCACCAGGAUGCAGGUUCAUCCCCAGCCCAGUGCAGUGGGUUAAAGGAUCUGGUGCUGCUGCAGUAGUAUUGUAAAUUGCAACUGCAGCUCAGAUCUAAUCCCCGGCCUGGGAACUCCAGAUGUUGUGGGGUGGCCAGGAAAGGAAAGGAAAGGAAAGGAAAGGAAAGGAAAGGAAAGAAAAAAAAAAAAAGAAAAGAAAAGAAAAGAAAAGAAAAA
rnacentral:lncRNA from 1 species